ensembl:snoRNA
CCUUACUCUAGAGGUAUUGCAGGUGUGAUUGAUAGGUCACAUGCGUAUUAGUAGGUGGCAGAGAGAUUAGAGAUCAUGUCUAUACUCAGUCUUCUGACCUGUGAACAUCUGAAUGAUCAGUAGCCUAACAUU